rnacentral:lncRNA from 1 species
CCCCCCCCCCAGCACACACACAUGCGUGUCUACACAAGCACACACACAUAAUUAAAAACACAAAACACACACACAUAAUUAAAAACACAAACACACACACAAAUUAAAAACACAAACACACACAUCACCCUCUCUCAUGCCCAGUCUUUCUCCCAUGUUUCUCUCUCUGUUUGUUCCCCAUUCAUGGCCUUCAUUCUUGACUUCAGCAUCUCAUAGCAGAGUUAUCUACCUUUAUUCCUAUUCUCUUUCUCUCUCACACAUUCCCUCUUUCUUCUCUCCUUCAGCAUCACAUAGCAGAGUUAUCUACCUUUAUUCCUCUCUUCUCGUUCUCUCUCACGCAUUCCCUCUCUCUUCUCUCCUUCACAAUCUCAUAGCAGAGUUAUCUACCUUUAUUCCUCUCUUCUCGUUCUCUCUCACGCAUUCCCUCUCUCUUCUCUCCUUCACAAUCUCAUAGCAGAGCUACCUCCUUUUAUUCCUCUCUUCUCUUUCUCUCUCAAGUUCUCUCUCUCUUCUCUCCUGUCACCUGCUCUAUCUGUCUCUCUCCUCCUCCUCCUUUCUCUCUUCCUUUCCUCCUCAUCCUCCUUUCCCUCCUCCUCAUCCUCCUUUCUCUACUUCUCUCCAUCACCUUCAUCCUCCUCCUCUUCCUCCUUCCUGUCCUCCUCCUUUCUCUUCUUCUCUCCAUCACCCUCCUGCUUCACCUGUCUCUACCACUCAACCCCUCUGUCAGUAUCCUCCAGUAUCCUCUUCUGCGUUCUCUCUCUCACUCUCUCUCUCGUUUUCACAUUCGAUCCUUCUCUCCAUCUCAUCAUCUUCCUCUCUCUCUCACUCAAUUUACAUCCUGUCUGCCUCUCCAUCCCUCUCUCUCUUACUCCCUCUCUCUAUCUCUUUCUCUUCCUCGUUCCUUCUCUCUCUUGUUCUGUGUUCAUCCUCGUUGUGUGUGUGUCCUUCUUACUCUCUCUUCAUGUCUCAGUCUGUCCUUUUCUCUCUCUUUGUCCUUCUAACUCUCUCUCUCCCUGUCUCCGUCCAUCCUUCUCUCUCUGUCCUCCUCUCUCUCCCUCCCUUAAGCCGGCAGUGCUGUUCCCCCAGCAGUCUGCCUGUUCCUCUUGUCCCUAGGUCUU